rnacentral:misc_RNA from 1 species
UACAGAGGCCCCAAGCGUUAUCCGGAAUCACUGGGCGUAAAGGGUGUCGAGGCGGUCGUAUUAGUCGUUUGUAAAAUCCGUGAGCUCAACUUACGGCCCGCAAGCGAAACGGUACGACUAGAGGUUUGGAGAGGUGCGUGGAACUCACGGUGUAGGGGUGAAAUCCGUUGAUAUCGUGGGGAACACCAAAGGCGAAGGCAGCGCACUGGCCAAAAUCUGACGCUCACACACGAAAGCUAGGGUAGCGAACGGG